rnacentral:tRNA from 1 species
GUUUCUGUGGUGUAGUGGUCAUCACGUCAGUUUUACACACUGAAGAUCCCCAGUUCGAUCCUGGGCAGGAACA